GCAGAGAGCUGAGCUAGCACCCUGCAGCCAACGCCACCACCCGCUCACCCGCGUGCUCCUUCGCGCAGCUGCUACCGCCACUACCCCAGCGCCGCGCGGCUCCUCCGGAGCGAGGAUUGUCAUCGGUCCGCUCGCUUUCUAACAGCAGGAUCUCUUCCCCAGCCUGACCAGGAUGUCUGAGCAGAAAGCUCUUCAAUCCCUGCCGCUGAGUGAGGCCAAUCCUUCACCUCUGCAACCUGCAGAUCCAGAAGUUAAUCAAACUAUAACUGAAUUGGCCAAACGAAUUGUAGAAAUUGGAGACAAGUUGUAUUUUGAAUAUCUUCUUCAAAAUGUGCUGUCCACCUUUGCUGACACAACUUGAAGUUAACUGACAGAUGGCUUUAACAGUGAAGAUCUUUAGUAUGUUCACCUUGUAAAAGGUUGCUUAUAAGGAUAUCCAUUCUCUUCAACCAUGGAAAAUCAAGAGCAAGAGGAUGCUUGGGAAGAGUUUUGCUCAGCAUUUUUCAACAAGGUUCAGUGUGAAAAAACAUGGACCUUGUUCACAAUUGUCUAAGUUAGAUCUGCUUUAUAUAUAUGACCACAGAAUGUAUUUCAAUCUGCAUACAUUGACCAUGUAAUUUCCAACUACAGGUGUACGUGAAGAACUUGAGUUCUUACAGCUGCAUUUUGGGCCUUAUCUGGAUUCUCCCUGAAACAAUCACUUUUACAAAGAACAUUGUGAAUUGGACUGGUUUGGUUCCUUUAAGAAACAAUUUUAGCAGAAUUUGGCAGGAUUUUUGUAUUUUUGUUUUCCACACUACGCUUUUGGUUCUUUUAGCUCUGGGACUUAUUUAUUUAAUUUAUGGUUAAAUUCUGUGAUUAGCCCCUUUUUGUAUUUAAAAGGUGAUAUGCAAUGUGAAUCUUUUAGGUUUAUAUUGUAAUAAAGCUUAUCCAAACUUGGAUUAACA